CGUUUAAUUUCCUUGCUGCUUUGCCUCUGACUGCUGCCUCCAGACUCAGACGAGGUCUUCAGCUCAGAAGUGCAGUUUGUGGGGGGCUGCUGGGGCUGAACAGAAGCGGCGGUGUCACAACCCGUGCCCAGAUGUCCCCAUGCAGGCACUAAGUGCCAGCCCCUCCGCUCCUACCCCAACCCAGAGCCAGGCACAGCGCUGCUGGCAUACACCUGGCGUGCAAGGAGCACCAAGCUCUGGGUGCCAAAUGUAUCACGUGGGCCACGCGUUGGCCACAGAGGAGCCACGGGGACCUGCACUGCCCUUGCUUUGUCCCCCUCCUGCACAGCACCAUGCAGGGCCGAGCUGCGGCUCUGGGUGUGUUUGGUGCACAGCUGGCAUUGUGUUCGACCAUGCAGGAGAAGAUUCUGUGAUUCCAUGGCUCUAUGGCUCUAUGGUUCUGAGAGCACGUGCAGUGCCCAUGGGGCACUGCCAGCUGUGAGGGGCCGGCGGUGCUUUUUUUUAAAGGAAAGCUCAAAAAAGGUCUCACUCCUUCCAGGCAGUAGUCACAUGCCAGCGUCACACAUGACCUUUUCAGAUCAACCCGAGAGGGCAAAAAGCAUUUUCUUAGGAGCCUGAUGUGGGGAAUGGUGAUGUGGGCCGACAUCUCCCCAGCAGCGCCCACGGGAUGCAGAGUGGUGCUGAGUGGCACAGCACACACUGGGGCUCCAGCCCUUGGGAGGGGGCACUGCUGCAAACCCAGUGAGGAACCGGCUCCUGCAGGGACCAGAGUGCUGACAGGGGGGGGACACGGCCCCGCACCUGGGCAGGCUCUGGCCUGGGGAGGGCUGCACGACCCCGGAGCCACCCCUGCUGCUGCCAUGUCUCAGAGCAGCACACAGCAAUGGGGCCGUGCACCAGAAGAGAAAACAGAAUGCAGCAGAAGCACCCUCCCAUCCCCCAGCGCAUAUAAUCCAUGCUGCCAGCAUCGCAGGCACUCUAUUUCUUUCAUCCCUAUCUACAGCAAUCUAAUUCCACGCGUACAGCGGGCACCACGCACGCCGAGCGCUGCUGUGUGGGCUCAGACAGCGGCUGAGGAGGGGACGGAACCAGCUCGGCACAGCGGGACCGGUGUGCACUGCUGCGCUGCCUUCACGCGUUGCACUUGUUUACUUUCCAUAUCAAAAACCGACAGAAUAAAGGAUCCUCAGCUCCAGUCAACAACAAAAC
rnacentral:lncRNA from 1 species